CCCGAUUGAUUCUGUCGGCGGUUAUAUGCUUAUCUCAAAGGCUAAGCCAUGCAUGUCUAAGUUCAAAUGGCCUAUAAAGGUGAAACCGCGAACGGCUCAUUACAACAGCUAUUAUAUACUUGAUCUUGAUAUCCUACGUGGAUAACUGUGGUAAUUCUAGAGCUAAUACAUGCACCAAAGCUCCGAUUUUCUGACGAGCGCAUCUAUUAGAUUAAAACCAAUCGGGUUUCGGCCCGUUAAUUGGUGACUCUGAAUAACUAUAGCUGAUCGAUGGUCUCGAACCGGCGACGUGUCUAUCAAGUGUCUGCCUUAUCAACUGUCGAUGGUAGUUUAUGUGCCUACCAUGGUUGUAACGGGUAACGGAGAAUAAGGGUUCGACUCCGGAGAGGGAGCCUGAGAAAUGGCUACCACAUCCAAGGAAGGCAGCAGGCGCAAAUUACCCACUCUCGGCAUGAGGAGGUAGUGACGAAAAAUAACGAGACCGUUCUCUAUGAGGCCGGUUAUCGGAAUGGGUACAAUUUAAACCCGUUAACGAGGAACUAUGAGAGGGCAAGUCUGGUGCCAGCAGCCGCGGUAAUUCCAGCUCUCAAAGUGUAUAUCGUCAUUGCUGCGGUUAAAAAGCUCGUAGUUGGAUCUGCGCCUCAGGAUCUGGUCCGCCCACUGGGCGAGAACUGGGCUCCUGGGCUAGUUCUGCUGGUUUUCCCUACGUUGCCUUCAUCGGUCGCGUAGGGUGGCUAGCGAGUUUACUUUGAAAAAAUUAGAGUGCUUAACGCGGGCUUAUGUCUGAAUACUCGUGCAUGGAAUAAUAGAAUAGGAUCUCGGUUCUAUUUUUUGGUUUUCUGAUCUGAGAUAAUGGUUAAGAGGGACGGACGGGGGCAUUCGUAUCGCUGCGUGAGAGGUGAAAUUCUUGGACCGUAGCGAGACGUCCGACUGCGAAAGCAUUUGCCAAAAUGUCUUCAUUAAUCAAGAACGAAAGUCAGAGGUUCGAAGGCGAUCAGAUACCGCCCUAGUUCUGACCGUAAACGAUACCAACUAGCGUUCCGUCGGCGGUAAAUAUGCCUUGACGGGUAGCUUCCCGGAAACGAAAGUCUUUCGGUUCCGGGGGAAGUAUGGUUGCAAAGCUGAAACUUAAAGAAAUUGACGGAAGGGCACCACCAGGAGUGGAGCCUGCGGCUUAAUUUGACUCAACACGGGAAAACUCACCUGGCCCGGACACCGUAAGGAUUGACAGAUUGAGAGCUCUUUCUUGAUUCGGUGGUUGGUGGUGCAUGGCCGUUCUUAGUUGGUGGAGUGAUUUGUCUGGUUUAUUCCGAUAACGAGCGAGACUCUAGCCUAUUAAAUAGUCAUCGGAUAAACAAGUCCGGAAGACUUCUUAGAGGGACAGCGGUAUACAGCCGCAUGAAGUUGAGCAAUAACAGGUCUGUGAUGCCCUUAGAUGUCCAGGGCUGCACGCGCGCUACACUGGAGGAAUCAGCGUGCUGUAACCAUUGCCGAAAGGUAUUGGUAACCCCUUGAAAAUCCUCCGUGAUCGGGAUCGGGAAUUGCAAUUAUUUCCCUUGAACGAGGAAUUCCUAGUAAGUGUGAGUCAUCAGCUCACGUUGAUUACGUCCCUGCCCUUUGUACACACCGCCCGUCGCUGCCCGGGACUGAGCCGUUUCGAGAAAAGCGGGGACUGCUGUUUCGAGACCUUUCGAGGUGGAGAUUCUUUGGUGGAAACCGCCUUAAUCGCAGUGGCUUGAACCGGGCAAAAGUCGUAACAAGGGUCG
rnacentral:rRNA from 1 species